GAUCCUGGCUCAGGAUGAACGCUAGCUACAGGCUUAACACAUGCAAGUCGAGGGGCAGCAUGGUCUUAGCUUGCUAAGGCUGAUGGCGACCGGCGCACGGGUGAGUAACACGUAUCCAACCUGCCGUCUACUCUUGGCCAGCCUUCUGAAAGGAAGAUUAAUUCAGGAUGGCAUCAUGAGUUCACAUGUCCGCAUGAUUAAAGGUAUUUUCCGGUAGACGAUGGGGGUA
rnacentral:rRNA from 1 species